rnacentral:ncRNA from 1 species
GAUUGUGGGAGAGUGCAAUGUAGACAGCCAACGAAGGAGCAAGUUCCAAAAAAAACCUUGGAACAAAUCUCUCAGGUAAAAGAACUACAA